rnacentral:rRNA from 1 species
CGGCACCUCAAGUGGUCAGGAUGAUUAUUGGGCCUAAAGCGUCCGUAGCCGGCCUAGUAAAUCUCUUGUGAAAUCGUUGCGCAUAACGUAACGGCGUGCAGGAGACACUGCUAGACUUGGAACCGGGAGGAGUCAGAGGUAUGCAAGGGGUAGCGGUAAAAUGUUAUAAUCCUUUGUAGACCACCUGUGGCGAAGGCGUCUGACCAGAACGGAUUCGACGGUGAGGGACGAAAGCUAGGGGAGCGAUCCGGAUUAGAUACCCGAGUAGUCC